UACGGAGGAUGCGAGCGUUAUCCGGAUUUAUUGGGUUUAAAGGGUGCGUAGGCGGGCUGUUAAGUCAGCGGUAAAAGCCCGGGGCUCAACCCCGGCGAGCCGUUGAAACUGGCUGUCUUGAGAUGUCGAGAGGUAUGCGGAAUGCGCAGUGUAGCGGUGAAAUGCUUAGAUAUUGCGCAGAACUCCGAUUGCGAAGGCAGCAUACCGGCGGCGAUCUGACGCUGAGGCACGAAAGCGUGGGUAUCGAACAG
rnacentral:rRNA from 1 species